rnacentral:lncRNA from 1 species
GCCGAAAGUAAAGAGGGCCACAGUAGAGGAGGGAACAAUGCCACACAACAUGAACAGCAAGGAGGGAGCAUUCCAUUCUGAGCAGAGGGACGCGAGGAGGUGGGGCCUGAAAGGACACAGGAGGCACUGACCCCCCGAGGCAAGGGAGAUGUGCCUUCUCUGGGAGACAGCGGCUUGGGAUGGUGGUGGGGCAGGUUCCCCGGGGAAGACCUGGACCAGGGGCUGGGGGUGGGAGUUGGAGAGGAGAGUGCAGUCUUGGGAGCAGAUUUAAAGUUAAGUGGCCUCCAUGGACCCCACAUGGCCCAGUCAGUUUGGACCCUCCUGGGAGAUCCUGAGUUCUGAGCCUAGGCGGUCUUGUCCUGCCUCUGCUGAGCACCCGGGCCAUGGCAGCCAUCAGGAUGCAGGAAGGUGGGGUCCCCUCCCAGCAGCUGGGAAAGCAUGAAGGAAGUUCAUUUCUCUGCAGCAGCUAUAGUGAUCGUGAGGAGAAGUAACUGAAAAGGUCAGACACACACUUCACUUACACAGCUCAUAAGUCAGUAAAGAAGCAAAGCCUGAGACUUCCUCAGGAGGUGAGUAAAUCCUCUGCCUUGCCAAGGCCUGCAAAGCUAGGCUUGGGGCCGGCCAGCCUAGGGGAGUGGCUUCUCCUGCUCUAGCUCCCAGUGCCCUCUGGCUUGGCUUUCUGAAGAGAGGGCUAGAGGAGCUGUGCCUCUAGAGUUCAAAAGAAAAGUACCUUAGGGAGGGAGUAUAGGGUUGCAGUCAAAAGAAUGGGCUCUGGACUCAUAAAAACAUCAGUUCAAAUUCAGACUCAUACCACUUAUUUGCUGUGUGAUUUUGGGCCACUCACACAACCUCUCUGAGCUGUCGUUUCCCCUCCAUACUGUAGGGCUGAUAAUAGUACCCAAACCAUAAGUCAUUGAGAGGAUUCAAUGAAGAUCAUACAAGUAAAAGAGUUAGAUCAAUGCCUAGGUUCCCACUGCAUAUUGGCUGUGGUUGUUAUCUUUAUCAUUUAAAUCAUUUAUUAUUAUUAACACUUUAAUUGUACAGCCUCCAAAAUGACCCCUGUGAUCCCUUCCCCCUGGUAUUCAUGCCUGCUAUUUAACCAGAAUAGGGUUGAUCUGUGUACUAAUAGGAGAUUGUGGGGACAGCAGAAUGUGACUUCCAAGGCUAGGUCCUGAAAGAUGCUGUGACUUUCGCCUGAGUCUCUUGGAUCACUCGCUCUGGGGGAGGACUGCUGUCAUGUCAUGAGGACACUCAGGCAUCCCCAUGGAAAAGUCUGCAUGGUGAGCACCCGAGACCUCCUACCCACAGCCAGCAUUAACUUACCUGCUCUGUGAGUGAGGCAGCUUGGAGGAAGAUCCCCCCACCCCAGAUAACCCCUAAAUGACAGCAGCUCCCACCAACAUCUUCUCUCCAAGCUCAUGAGGGAGUGUGAGUCAGAACCACCUAGCUAAGCUCGUGAAUUCCUGACCUGCAAAAACCGUGCGAGAUCACAAAUGUUCAUUUUUUUUAUUGAAGCCAUUAAGUUUUGGGGUGAUUUGUAAUGCAUAAAUAAUUAAUACAAUUAUUAUACUGAAAAUUUCUCACUAGGAAGUGGCCACUCAUUAGGCAGCCCCAGCCUUCAGGCUCUGUCCAGCCCAGUAAAAGUCAGUCAUUUUUGUGCCAAAGAUCCCUGAAAGAGACAGCAUCAUGUUUGGGUAUCACCUCCUCCAGAGAGCCUUCUUGGCCAAGUCAAGAGCUUUUCUCCAUGUGCCCACAGAAAGGCUCUUUGUAAUCCUCUACCACACUGCAUUGUCAUUCUGGGACCAAUCAUGUUUUCAUCUAGGCUUUGGCUACUAGGAGGCUCAGACCCAAAUUUUCAGGCCACUGCGAAGACUCUCAAUUUAUUCUUGCCCUAGUUUACUCAUCUAUUUGCUUUGUCCUGUUUUGUGUGUCCCUUGUGUAAAUUAUCACACAUCCUUUGUGAAAUGAGGCGGCAUGAAGCAAGUCCUUGCUGAAGGUCCAGGGCAUGGCAAGAGAACCUGAGUUUAAGAAGCAGACAUCACCUGCUGGCAGCAGGCAGUAUCCUCUCAGUCAGCCUUGAUGUCCCCUUCCCUGGAUCCUCACUUCUCAUGGCAAUCUCCCCGUCUCCUCAGGAAAAAAUCUACAACUUUCAUCAAAUUACUCAGGGAGACUUUAUUCUAAAGAGACUGAAAACGACCAACAUCAAUUUUGACUCCUAUGGGCAUCUGUAAAUAGCUUCAAGGUUUUAAGGUGAAAUGUCAUGUACCAAAAUACACAUUCUGGAGAAGCAGGAAGCUACAGACCAACUUGAGAUGAAAGUCUCAUAUCAAUGUUUUCCCAAGUGUGCUCCUUGGAAUACAGGUUGACAUGAUAUGAUGCCCAGCAAGGGAAACAAAACAUAUUCAUGUUCAAAUUAGUUGGGGAAAUGCUGGACUAAAUAAGGUUUGAUGGGAUUCUUUUUUCUGCAGGACUUCUCAGAAGGGGCUAGAGUAGGCAAAGUUUCCCAGAUUUACCUAAUAAAAGCAUUGUUUCUGUGGGAGUUUCAUUUGUUAUUACAUGUUUCCUGAAUGCAGAUUCAUAGACUAUCCUUUGGGGAACCCUCGUCCUCACGGGAUGUAUGUUCAUGGUGGUGUCUUCGAGUUUGUGCCCUUGUGAAGCAUUCUGGCAGCAAGCAUCUGAACACUUCCAAAAGGGGGCGAUAUUUAGGAGAAAUCGCUCAGCCUGAGUUAGAACAAAUGCAGCUGCUGGUGUCUCUUGGUGCCUGGGAGCCCUAGAGUGUCAGAGGGAGGAGCGUGCACACUGGAACCAGCAGCCUGGUGCUGCGUCUCAGCUCUGUCGCUAACUGGCUAUGCACCUCUGGGCAUGGCACUUAACCCUUCUGAGCCCCAGCCCGCCAUCUGUAAAAAGGGCUUGAUGUGAGGAUUGAAUGAGAUCAUGCAGGGAACACAAUGUCUGGCACUUGGAAGCGUCCACCAUAAAGAGCCAAGGCAGUAGAUGGCCCAGCUGGGUUUGGUCCAGGCAGAGUUUACCCUCUGCCCUGGAGGCUCCAGGAAAUGCUGCCACGUGGCUCCUAUUGCCUUAACCACAUCCGACCUGUUCCUGACAGCUCCCCACAUCUCCAGCUCCUUUGCUGGUGCUCCAGGCACCUCCAAACGUGGCGAGCCCCUCUCCCCUGCCCUCUUGUGGCAGCUGACCUGGCAGGAGUGGGACCAAGACAUCCAAGGCAGCUCCUUUCCACCUGCAUGGGCACUUUCCUCAGGACAUCCUUGCCCCUGGCACCACCUUGGGCCAGCAAGCCACAUGGAAAUGGAUGCAGAGGCACCACUGUUUGCUGACAAUUAUACACUGUCCUUAAGGUCACCCUUGGCGAUCUGUCACCAGGAGCAGACAAACCCACACCUCAACCAUCCCAUCAGAGCUUGUUUCUAUCUGCAUCUGUCAUCGCUGAUCGCAUUUGAAUG